GACGAACGCUGGCGGCGUGCCUAAUACAUGCAAGUAGAACGCACAGUUUAUACCGUAGCUUGCUACACCAUAGACUGUGAGUUGCGAACGGGUGAGUAACGCGUAGGUAACCUGCCUGGUAGCGGGGGAUAACUAUUGGAAACGAUAGCUAAUACCGCAUAAUAUUGAUUAUUGCAUGAUAAUUGAUUGAAAGAUGCUAUUGCAUCACUACCAGAUGGACCUGCGUUGUAUUAGCUAGUAGGUGAGGUAACGGCUCACCUAGGCGACGAUACAUAGCCGACCUGAGAGGGUGAGCGGCCACACUGGGACUGAGAAACGGCCCAGACUCCUACGGGAGGCAGCAGUAGGGAAUCUUCGGCAAUGGACGAAAGUCUGACCGAGCAACGCCGCGUGAGUGAAGAAGGUUUUCGGAUCGUAAAGCUCUGUUGUAAGAGAAGAACGGGUGUGAGAGUGGAAAGUUCACACUGUGACGGUAUCUUACCAGAAAGGGACGGCUAACUACGUG
rnacentral:rRNA from 1 species